UAUUUUUAAUUGACAUAGACCAAGUCCUCUAGUAAAAUGAGGAUGAUGC
rnacentral:tRNA from 1 species